rnacentral:miRNA from 1 species
UACAGACCUUCGAUUUGGUUCAGGACCCUCCCUGAACCAAGGAAGAGUCCCAGUCUCGUGUCCUCAUGGUUC